rnacentral:rRNA from 1 species
AACGAACGCUGGCGGCAUGCCUAACACAUGCAAGUCGAACGAGACCUUCGGGUCUAGUGGCGCACGGGUGCGUAACGCGUGGGAACCUGCCCUUAGGUUCGGAAUAACUCCCCGAAAGGGGUGCUAAUACCGGAUAAUGUCUUCGGACCAAAGAUUUAUCGCCUUUGGAUGGGCCCGCGUUGGAUUAGCUAGUUGGUAGGGUAAAAGCCUACCAAGGCGACGAUCCAUAGCUGGUCUGAGAGGAUGAUCAGCCACACUGGGACUGAGACACGGCCCAGACUCCUACGGGAGGCAGGAGUGGGGAAUAUUGGACAAUGGGCGAAAGCCUGAUGCAGCAAGGCCGCGUGAGUGAUGAAGGCAUUAGGGUUGUAAAGCUCUUUUAACCGGGAUGAUAAUGACAGUACCGGGAGAAUAAGCUCCGGCUAACUCCGUG